UUGAACGCUGGCGGCAUGCCUUACACAUGCAAGUCGAACGGCAGCACGGGUGCUUGCACCUGGUGGCGAGUGGCGAACGGGUGAGUAAUACAUCGGAACAUGUCCUGUAGUGGGGGAUAGCCCGGCGAAAGCCGGAUUAAUACCGCAUACGAUCUACGGAUGAAAGCGGGGGACCUUCGGGCCUCGCGCUAUAGGGUUGGCCGAUGGCUGAUUAGCUAGUUGGUGGGGUAAAGGCCUACCAAGGCGACGAUCAGUAGCUGGUCUGAGAGGACGACCAGCCACACUGGGACUGAGACACGGCCCAGACUCCUACGGGAGGCAGCAGUGGGGAAUUUUGGACAAUGGGCGAAAGCCUGAUCCAGCAAUGCCGCGUGUGUGAAGAAGGCCUUCGGGUUGUAAAGCACUUUUGUCCGGAAAGAAAUCCUUGGCUCUAAUACAGUCGGGGGAUGACGGUACCGGAAGAAUAAGCACCGGCUAACUACGUGCCAGCAGCCGCGGUAAUACGUAGGGUGCGAGCGUUAAUCGGAAUUACUGGGCGUAAAGCGUGCGCAGGCGGUUUGCUAAGACCGAUGUGAAAUCCCCGGGCUCAACCUGGGAACUGCAUUGGUGACUGGCAGGCUAGAGUAUGGCAGAGGGGGGUAGAAUUCCACGUGUAGCAGUGAAAUGCGUAGAGAUGUGGAGGAAUACCGAUGGCGAAGGCAGCCCCCUGGGCCAAUACUGACGCUCAUGCACGAAAGCGUGGGGGAGCAAACAGGAUUAGAUACCCUGGUAGUCCACGCCCUAAACGAUGUCAACUAGUUGUUGGGGAUUCAUUUCCUUAGUAACGUAGCUAACGCGUGAAGUUGACCGCCUGGGGAGUACGGUCGCAAGAUUAAAACUCAAAGGAAUUGACGGGGACCCGCACAAGCGGUGGAUGAUGUGGAUUAAUUCGAUGCAACGCGAAAAACCUUACCUACCCUUGACAUGGUCGGAAUCCCGCUGAGAGGUGGGAGUGCUCGAAAGAGAACCGGCGCACAGGUGCUGCAUGGCUGUCGUCAGCUCGUGUCGUGAGAUGUUGGGUUAAGUCCCGCAACGAGCGCAACCCUUGUCCUUAGUUGCUACGCAAGAGCACUCUAAGGAGACUGCCGGUGACAAACCGGAGGAAGGUGGGGAUGACGUCAAGUCCUCAUGGCCCUUAUGGGUAGGGCUUCACACGUCAUACAAUGGUCGGAACAGAGGGUUGCCAACCCGCGAGGGGGAGCUAAUCCCAGAAAACCGAUCGUAGUCCGGAUUGCACUCUGCAACUCGAGUGCAUGAAGCUGGAAUCGCUAGUAAUCGCGGAUCAGCAUGCCGCGGUGAAUACGUUCCCGGGUCUUGUACACACCGCCCGUCAAGGCG
rnacentral:rRNA from 1 species